AUGCCAGCAAAUUUGGAAAACUGGCCACAGGAAUGGAAAAGGUCAGUUUUUAUUUCAAUCCCAAAGAAAGGCCAUGCCAAAGAAUGCUCAAACUCCAACACAAUUGCACUCAUCUCACACGCUAGCAAAGUAAUGCUCAAAAUUCUCCAAGCCAGGCUUCAGCAGUACGGGAACUGUGAACUUCCUGAUGUUCAAGCUGGUUUUAGAAAAGGCAGAGGAACCAGAGAUCAAAUUGCCAACAUCCUCUGGAUCAUGGAGAUUGCAAGAGAGUUCCAGAAAAACAUCUAUGUCUGCUUUAUUGAUUAUGCCAAAGCCUUUGACUGUGUGGAUCACAAGAAAUUGUGGAAAAUUCUGAAAGGGAUGGGAAUACCAGACCGCCUGACCUGCCUCUUGAGAAAUCUGUAUGCAGGUCAGGAAGCAACAGUUAGAAAUGGACAUGGAACAACACACUGGUUCCAAAUAGGAAAAGGAGUACAUCAAGGCUGUAUAUUGCCACCCUGCUUAUUGAACUUAUAUGCAGAGUACAUCAUGAGAAACGCUGGACUGGAAGUAACACAAGCUGGAAUCAAGAUUGCCAGGAGAAAUAUCAAUAACCUCAUAUAUACAGAUGAUACCACUCUUGUGGCAGAAAGUGAAGAGGAACUCAAAAGCCUCUUGAUGAAAGUGAAAGAGGAGAGUGAAAAAAUUGACUUAGAGCUCAACAUUCAGAAAAUGAAGAUCAUGGCAUCCGGUCCCAUCACUUCAUGGGAAAUAGAUGAGGAAACAGUGUCAGAGUUUAUUUUUGGGGACUCCAAAAUUACUGCAGAUGGUGAUUGCAGCCAUGAAAUUAAAAGACCCUUGCUCCUUGGAAGAAAAGUUAUGACCAACCUAGAUAGCAUAUUCAAAAGCAGAGACACUACUUUGCCAACUAAGGUCCGUCUAGUCAAGGCUAUGGUUUUUCCUUUGGUCAUGUAUGGAUGUGAGAGUUGGACUGUGAAGAAGGCUGAGCGCCAAAGAAUUGAUGCUUUUGAACUGUGGUGUUGGAGAAGACUCUUGAGAGUCCCUUGGACUGCCAGGAGAUCCAACCAGUCCAUUCUGAAGGAGAUCAGCCCUGGGAUUUCUUUGGAAGGAAUGAUGCUAAACCUGCAGCUCCAGUACUUUGGCCACCUCAUGAAGAGUUGA
rnacentral:lncRNA from 1 species